CCUGACAGAAAGGGGGCUCUAGGGGACAUGGGGGAGCAGGACUUGGGGGGAGUCUCCCGGCAGGGGAAGGAUGCACAUUCCUCAUGCGGCCUGUGGAGGUCCGCCCCAGGUUGAAAUCCCACAGCAGGCCUCUGUAGCUCCCCCCAGUGGAAACCCUCUGCAGUGCAUGGUGGGCUUCUUGGAGCAGGCUCACUGGGGUUCAAAUCCCAAUGGCUUCAGAAUGUAUUGACUGUGUAACCUUGAACAAAUAUGAAAAGGAGACCAGCUCCCCUGAGGGCCGGUGGGCCGGGUGGAAGUAGGACCCCUCGGGCAGCCCUGCGCAUCGGGUCUGACCCAUAGGAGACAUUUCUCUGUUCCUUCCCAUCUGGGUGUCACGUAAAUACAUUUCACUGUCCCUAUCUGGCCAAAGUUCGGAGGCAGGGCCCCCAUUGGAGUCCCCGUGCUCUGAGCACCGCCGUCCUUUCUUUUCCGGUAUCUGGGUGUGGUGUUCUUACUGAGCUCCUGGCAGCCCUGGUUCGGGGAGGAUUUUAGGGGAUGGAGGCUGAAGGAGGAUUAGUAAGAUGUGUGAUUGGCUGGCCUUUGCUCAGCCAAACCUGCUACAGCUAAAUAAAUAAAAGCAUGUUACAGCCCACAUCCAUGAAGUCCUCCAAGACAGCGCGUUAGGGACACUUCUGACGCUACUGUUUCAGGCCUGGCCAGCUGACACCUACUCCCACACAUUCUGAGGUGCCCUUUCCCAUCUCAGUCAUGUGGCUAGGAAGUUGGUGCUUCCCCUUGCCGGUAAGCUUUGACAUGUGUGUUUCCCCCACUAGCUAAAGAAGAUCCUUCUAGCGGUUUUCUUUGCCCAGCAGGUCCCCUGUGUAAAUAUCGCCACAUCCGCAGAAUAAUGUGUAUUAACUACUCGGCUGGCUUCUGCCCUGAGGGACCCAAAUGCCAAUUUGCACACUUGUCAUCCGGCCAGUGGGUUCGGCACCUCCUGCUUCUGCCUGGGAACCUCACAAGCCCCCUUCCCCGAAAGAGUGUCUGCUUCUCCACCCUCAGAUGAAGCCCCAGGAGCCCCCGGUCACUUACUGCCUGGGGCUCAGGGCCCUGGAAGAGGGCCCGUGUUACAGGUGUUGAAAAAUAAGCCAUUAUGCCAGCAAGAGUCAACUGGUAGAAGCUACCAAAAAAUACCCCUGGUCGGUCUGGGGAACUGAAGGACCUUCUAGUGAAGACGCCCGAAGGCCAUCCUAGGGGAUUCUGUUCUCAGCUAGCCCACUGCCUGCCUAACCAGGAAAGGAGGUGCAGAAGCAACCUGCUGUGUUUCAAUUUCCUCUUCUGUACGUGAACGAGCUACUGAAAAUAUAGCAGGAGCGGAGGCUGACUGAGUGUGGCAGGAACGAGGUAUUCAUAGAACGGGGGAGCACAGUGUAAGUAAAACCAAGAGCUCGAGCACAUGGGGACGGCCAGUGCCCUGUGCUUAGCUCCCGCCCCGCCGCCGACAGUUCUGGGUGGCACGUGGCCUUCCUGUGCACACGGCCUCAGCUGCUGCUGUAAACGAACAAUUAAAUCAAGUGGUUUCUUUAGCAUGACAGCUGCUUCCCUAAGUGUAAGACGAGAUUCUGUGCAUGCCUUCUGUAAGGAAUUACAGGGAGGUGGAUGGUACGAGUGAGGCUUAUCCCGGGGACGUAAGGAAGUGACAUGGAUCAGUGAAUGCCGUGUGGUCUCGGUCACUGUCUGAGUCAAACCCCAAUGCAACUUAAUCCACGGGGAAAGGAGCAGGGAGGCAAGGCUGCGCCUUUUGGAGGAAUGGAAAGAAGAGGGACGACACACAGUGCGCGGUAGGACCAGGCUCCCUGCCUUCGGCAGACGGAGGCAGCUGGCUCAUCCGGCCUGGAGCGGGAGGGUGAGGCCGAGGCUAAGAGGAUAGCCGGCCCUGGAGACAGAUUCGGAGGUCUGAACGCCAGCUCCACCCUGGGCUGCUAUGUGACAAACUCUACACAGCCAUGCAGGCAAAUUACUUAACCUCCUCGAGUCUGCUCCCUCAUUCUAGAAAACGAGUGUGGUGGCAGCUCUGGCCUCACGAGAGACUGCAGGUGAAGAAGGCUGCACGGCGCUGGAAUGACAAAAGUGAGCACCCAGGUGGCAGCUGGAUUUUGGCGUGGAUUGUGGUGGGGCCUCUCUUGCUUAGUUCAAGUUCAGGAUGUGAACGAAAUAAGAGGCCACAAGAGGUGUUAGAAAAGCUGUUAUUUCAUUCCUAUUAUGUGUGACACUUUGCUGGAAUUAACAGAUGCAAGACUUUUAAUUCAACCAAAUCUCUGCAAAGUAGGUAUAAUCAUCCCCAUUUUACAGUCCGGACCAAGGAGGCUCCAAUUAAGUCAGAUAACUUGCCCAAGGACACACCUACUACCCAUUUCACAGUACGUUUCCACUGUUAAAUUCGCACCGCAGCCAUCUCCACUGUUCCUGCCUUGGAGCGCCAAAGCUUUCUUACGUGGUGUCCAGGUCGAUGCUACUUACACCAGCGCUGCAGCUCUUACGAUAAACAAAGAUAAACACAAGGAUCUAAGAGGCCAUUCUGUUGACUGUUUCUACGUCUUGACUCUACAGAUCAUUGUUAUAUUUUUGUUUUAUAAAUUUAGAAGUAAAGUCUUAAGCAAAA